rnacentral:tmRNA from 1 species
GGGGAUGAUCCGGUUUCGACGGGGAUACUGAAGACAGGAUAAGCGAGCCGCGGCCCCUGUACCGCGCAACAACGGGGAAAAACAAUAACUGACACUAGCAAUUACGCUUUCGCGGCUUAAUGCCGCGCGUCGGCCCUGAGCGCCUGCGGCUCAGCAAGCCGGCGUCAUUGACGCAGGGAACGAGCGCCGCUUAAGCUUUGCGGCGGCGCCCGUAAAAAUGAAGCUACCUUCCUGAGAGUUUUUCCGCGGACGCUCACGGAGGGGAAUUCAAAUCACGGAAUGCGCUCGGAGAAAGUUCUGCCAACGGAUCUUCGGACAGGGGUUCGACUCCCCUCAUCUCCACCA